CGAGAGUUCUCUUUCUCUAGUGGAUUCGUAGUUUGUUGCUUGGGAACUUGAAAGUUUUAAGCAGUCUGCAUCUUACGGGACACUAAAUGCGCGUGUACGCGUAUACUUUCCGAUAGAUGUACUUCAUAAUUACGUUGAAGACGUCAAGUUUGUCAUCAAUUUUGACUAUCCUUCUUGUUCGGAGGAUUAUGUUCAUCGAAUCGGUCGAACAGGUCGUCGUCAAAAAACCGGUACAGCUUAUACUUUUUUCACUCCGAAUAAUUCUAACAAGGCCAACGACCUAAUCCAGGUACUGAAAGAAGCGAAUCAAGUUAUAAAUCCCAAGUUGCUGGAACUUGCCGAUAGUAAAAGCGGUGGAUACGGGAGACACAGAGGCGGAAGAAAUCGAUGGCGAUCUCGCGGUGGCCGUAACGGAAAGGACCGCAGUUACUCGAGGAGCAGAAGCCGAAGUCACAGUAGGGAACACAAUGGCCGUGGGAAUCGCAGGAGUUACAGUAGGAGUUACUCUCGAAGUCGUAGCCCCGUCAACAAUCGUACAGAGGUUAUCGGUAAGAGUUACUGGAGCAGCGAAAGAUGAUCUUCCACCGGUGGUCAAGGACCAAGAAUUAUUCUAUGAAUCUUGUCUUUUUGUAUGCCCCUUUUAAACAACACCCGACACAUAGUUACGCAAUCACACGAUAUCACAAUCAUACUCGCUGUGACAGUUCACUCGCGUCAUUAAAAUAUUGGUGUAACAUUGAUGUUCCAUUAACGUAAAACGUUAAUACGCGAACGUAUUACUUACGAUUCUCGUGCAUUAUAGCGAAUUACUCGAAAACCAUCGAAUGUAAGCACACUUUUCUCUAUGUUACGGAGUAACGACUCGCGAGCCCGCGUCGACCGAGAUCAAGGAAACGAGUCGAGUCGAGUCGAGUCAGUUUCCGAGAUAUUCCGAGAUAUUCCGAGAUAUAGCUGUACGUUCGUAGACCUUUUCUUUCACCUUACUUCUUUCCCCGAGCUUCGGUAUCGUAGAAGGCGAGAGCGGAGCGCGAGGCCGAUCGGUCCGAUCGCACCUUGUCACCUUUCGAUACCGAUUACACGUGUAACUUGUUUCACGAUGCGUCCACGUGCGAGGCCACACGUCCGAUCAGCCGAUACUCCGGUACUCCGAUACUCCGGUACUCCGAUACUCCGAUAAUCCGAUAAUCCGACAAGCCGAAUCGAGUUAGCAUAAAUGCAAUCGAGCAAAUGCAAUUGGAAGACGAAUCAUUUGAAAGCUAGUAGUACGCCGGUUCUUCGACUCUUCGAUUCUUCGAUUCUUCGAUUCUUCGAUUCUUGAAGCGCGUUUGCUAUUUAUGGCUUACUAGCAAUUCAUUCGUACACGUAUUCAAGCAUUUAAAACUAAUGGAAUGAUGUACAGUAUUUAACAAAAAUGUCAUAAAUAAAUUUAUUAAC